rnacentral:rRNA from 1 species
GAUGAACGCUGACAGAAUGCUUAACACAUGCAAGUCUUUGGCGAAGCUGUGCUCGCACAGCCUAGCCAAGGCGGACGGGUGAGUAACGCGUAAGGAACUUGCCCUGCAGUCAGGGAUAACAGACGGAAACGACUGAUAAGACCUGGUAAAGUCAGGCGGACUCAUGUCCAGCCUGAUGAAAAGAGAUGCUGCAGGAGAGCCUUGCGUCCUAUUAGCUUGUUGGUGGGGUAACGGCCCACCAAGGCGAUGAUAGGUAGCCGGCCUGAGAGGGUGGACGGCCACAAGGGGACUGAGAUACGGCCCUUACUCCUACGGGAGGCAGCGGGGGGGAAUAUUGGACAAUGGGGGCAACCCUGAUCAAGCAAGUCUGUGUGCACGAGGAAGGUUGUCGGAUUGUAAAGUGCUUUCAGCAGGGAAGAAAAAAAUGACGGUGCCUGCAGAAGAAGCGACGGCUAAAUACG